UGCGUAGGCGGUUUAUCAAGUCAGAUGUGAAAUCCCCGGGCUUAACUCGGGACGUGCAUUUGAAACUGAUAGACUUGAGUAAAGAAGAGGUAAGUGGAAUUCCUAGUGUAGCGGUGGAAUGCGUAGAUAUUAGGAGGAACACCAGUGGCGAAGGCGACUUACUGGUCUUUUACUGACGCUGAGGCACGAAAGCGUGGGGAGCAAACAGGAUUAGAUACCCUGGUAGUCC
rnacentral:rRNA from 1 species